UACGGGGGGGGGCAAGCGUUGUUCGGAAUUACUGGGCGUAAAGGGCCAGUAGGCGGCCAACUAAGUCGGAUGUGAAAUCCCCAGGCUCAACUUGGGAACUGCAUCCGAUACUGGAUGGCUUGAAUUCGGGAGAGGGAUGCAGAAUUCCAGGUGUAGCGGUGAAAUGCGUAGAUAUCUGGAGGAAUACCGGUGGCGAAGGCGGCAUCCUGGACCGACAUUGACGCUGAUGAGCGAAAGCUAGGGUAGCAAACGGG
rnacentral:rRNA from 1 species